rnacentral:miRNA from 1 species
CUGGGCUUCCCCAGUCCAGGCAGCACCCUCAGGCGAGGACUACAGUGUAGAGAAAGGGGCACUGGAUUUGGAGUCAGAAGGCCUG